rnacentral:rRNA from 1 species
AGGAUUAGAUACCCUAGUAGUCCACGCCGUAAACGAUGAGAACUAAGUGUUGGNGGAAUAACUCAGUGCUGCAGUUAACGCAAUAAGUUCUCCGCCUGGGGAGUAUGCACGCAAGUGUGAAACUCAAAGGAAUUGACGGGGGCCCGCACAAGCGGUGGAGUAUGUGGUUUAAUUCGAAGCAACGCGAAGAACCUUACCAGGCCUUGACAUCCCGGGCAAGGGCGUAGAGAUACGCCGGAGGCUAUCCCGGUGACAGGUGGUGCAUGGUUGUCGUCAGCUCGUGUCGUGAGAUGUUGGGUUAAGUCCCGCAACGAGCGCAACCCUUGUGAUAUGUUACUACCAGUAAGAUGAGGACUCAUAUCAGACUGCCGGUGACAAACCGGAGGAAGGUGGGGAUGACGUCAAAUCAUCAUGCCCCUUAUGGCCUGGGCUACACACGUACUACAAUGGCGCAUACAAAGAGCAGCGAACCCGUGAGGGCAGGCGAAUCUCGCAAAGUGCGUCUCAGUUCGGAUUGAAGUCUGCAACCCGACUUCAUGAAGUUGGAAUCGCUAGUAAUCGCGAAUCAGCAUGUCGCGGUGAAUACGUUCUCGGGCCUUGUACACACCGCCCGUCAAACCAUGGGAGUUGGUAAUACCCGAAGCCGGUGGCAUAACCCAUUCAGGGAGUGAGC